UCCCAUAUGGUGUAGUGGUUAGCAUAAUGCUCUCUCAUAUAAUGAGCGCAGCAUAGACCCUGGUUCGAUUCCUGGUAUGGGAG
rfam:Pseudallescheria apiosperma strain IHEM 14462 SEQ_SAPIO_0087, whole genome shotgun sequence.